rnacentral:rRNA from 1 species
AUUGAACGCUGGCGGCAUGCUUUACACAUGCAAGUCGAACGGUAACAGGGUGCUUGCACCGCUGACGAGUGGCGAACGGGUGAGUAAUGCGUCGGAACGUGCCGAGUAGCGGGGGAUAACGCAGCGAAAGUUGUGCUAAUACCGCAUACGUACUGAGGUAGAAAGUGGGGGACCUUCGGGCCUCACGCUAUUCGAGCGGCCGACGUCUGAUUAGCUAGUAGGUGGGGUAAAGGCUCACCUAGGCGACGAUCAGUAGCGGGUCUGAGAGGAUGAUCCGCCACACUGGGACUGAGACACGGCCCAGACUCCUACGGGAGGCAGCAGUGGGGAAUUUUGGACAAUGGGCGAAAGCCUGAUCCAGCCAUGCCGCGUGUCUGAAGAAGGCCUUCGGGUUGUAAAGGACUUUUGUCAGGGAGGAAAUCCCUAGUGCUAAUAACACUGGGGGAUGACAGUACCUGAAGAAUAAGCACCGGCUAACUACGUGCCAGCAGCCGCCGUAA